rnacentral:lncRNA from 1 species
CCCGGCUGUGCCGCAGGCUUGGCGGCGGCGCUGCGGCAGGGUCCCGGCGGCCGUGCCCUGCGAAGGGCCGGGGCCGGGCGCGUCGGGAAGCGGCGGGGCUGCAGCAGGCGGAGGACAGGAAUAUUUGAGUGAGAAAAUCACACAGAGUACCUACUUUCCAGAUUACUCCAGACUACAUAGCUGCUCAUUAGAUCAUGCAAAUUUUGAAUACUGCUCUAUGCUGAAAAAUGACGACUGACCAUACAAGCCACCCCUUGCAGGAGGAAAGGAAAAAACAAGAGCCAUCAAGAUAUCAGUGAGAUCAUUUAAUGCACUUCUGGAAUGAGUUCAGAUAACACACCAUGAAGGCAGAACUCAGCGUGGCCAGGAGUGUGACUGGAUCACAAAUAAUUCUGCACAAUGAUCUUGCUGUGAUAUUAACAUGCUAGUUAGUCACUACUAUUAGGGUAAACAUACUAAAAAAAUGAACUACAUGAAGAAUUUCAUAACCUCAAAAUUUCAGAGACCAUGAAACACUUUGAUGAUCAUACUGCCCAUUAUAUUCUGAAUGUACAGAGAAUGUAGGUGUCACAUUUACCAGAUAAGAAUAUGGGCUAGAUAGAAGAGGACAAAGAUACCAGCAAGUCAUAUUCAGAAACAACUCUUUAAUAAUAACUGUAUACUUCAGAGAGCAGAAUGAUGUAAGCAACACGGGAAUUCCUACAAACUGUGCUUUAUUUCACUAAGCAUUUGGUUUUUGUUGUCAAAGCAUAUAAAAACAUGAAAAGAAUCAGUUGUCUACAACUUUGAGGAUAGCAUCUCUGACAGACGGUAGGAACCUCCCAGUAGGUCAUCCUUUUUUAUCAACUAUAUUGUAAAUCAACUUAAGCAUUUGUCUAUCUACCUUGUUCCAGGUCACCUAUAGACAAGACUUACUGUGUCAACUGAUUGAGCAGCCAGGAAGAAAAGCCUUUUGCAUUAUGAAUGUUAUGACACAAGAGCUAGAUGGUUUACUUGCUCAUUUAUCAGAAAUAGAAACAAGUAUAAGAGCAUAAAGAAAUGAAGAGAUGCAUUCACAGUGCUAUAAAAACUUACUGAAAUACAUAAAAUGUGAGAUUUCCUUUACUGUA